GACGAACGCUGGCGGCGUGCUUAACACAUGCAAGUCGAACGGAAAGGCCCUGCUUGCAGGGUGCUCGAGUGGCGAACGGGUGAGUAACACGUGGGUGAUCUGCCCCUUACUUUGGGAUAAGCCUGGGAAACUGGGUCUAAUACUGGAUAGGACCAUGCUGUAGGUGGUGUGGUGGAAAGAUUAGUUUCGGUAGGGGAUGAGCUCGCGGCCUAUCAGCUUGUUGGUGGGGUAAUGGCCUACCAAGGCGUCGACGGGUAGCCGGCCUGAGAGGGUGGACGGCCACAUUGGGACUGAGAUACGGCCCCGACUCCUACGGGAGGCAGCAGUGGGGAAUAUUGCACAAUGGGCGCAAGCCUGAUGCAGCGACGCCGCGUGGGGGAUGACGGCCUUCGGGUUGUAAACUCCUUUCAGCCAUGACGAAGCCCUUGUGGUGACGGUAGUGGUAGAAGAAGCACCGGCUAACUACGUG
rnacentral:rRNA from 1 species